AAAAAGAAGCAAGAAUAGUCUUUAUUGCUCAGAAACACAAUUGGAAAAAGGUAUCAAUAAAAUAAAAAGAUUCAGAACACAAUUACUUGCAUGCAGCACAAACACUGAGGAUCAAAAGGUCUGCUAAAGGAAACACGCGUAAACAAGGGCCUCGGGAGAGUUUACAGAUGAUGGGCUUGACCAGGCCGCGCCUGCAGUUGAUUCUCUCCUUCUGGAUAGACUUUCGUGGUAACCCCUCCAAAAAAGGUCAGAUUUCGGCAAUAAACUAUCUCAAAGGAUGGCAACACAUC
rnacentral:lncRNA from 1 species